AUGUGUACAUACAUCGCCAUGUGCCUCCAGGUUGUUCCACUGCAAUCUCUUUCCAUAAGCUGCUUUAUUGACAUUAGGCCGAGGCGAUUGUGUCAUGUAUAUAUAUUGCACCUUGGACGUAUACUACAUCUUAGCUGCGGACAAAUAAACAAUGCUGACCUAAUGUGUGAUUUCUUCCCUGCAGCCGCUUGCUAUGUUUGCUCAGCUGCAGUCCAGCAUGUGUGUGCUGUAAUGAAGGAGAACAUCUAUCAGAGUCUACAUCAAGAAGAUAACCAAGAGACACUACCGUUUAAAAGUUUGGGAGCUCCGAGCAAAAUGACAGCGAUCCAAAGAUCUGCUACAGGAUAAAGUAUUCUCACAUCACCCUUGGGACUCCAGGACAAUAACGUUGGCCUUCCCUCAGGGACAAUUGACAAUGUCUUACUGCUCAGUUGGACGCUUCGGCUUUACGGAGAUCAUGAGAUUGUGAGGAUGCAUGAGCUUCUCACUUUUCAAAAGUAAGAAUUAUGUAAUCUUCUAUAAUCGCUCUGACUGUUUACAGAGCUGCAAUCGGCAAGCAUGAAUAAAUAAAACCACCCAGGCACUUUUCAAAGAGGAUCCUCAUUUGCUGGUUGGACGGCUGAUGGUUGUAAUUUUGCCUUUUUAGCAUUUUAAUCAUGAGCCGACCAGAAAUGAGAUGACAAUCAGCAUUUGGGGUUUGAAAAAGGCAUAAUGUAAACUUAUUUAUAUAGAGAUGCACAGAGUUAAAUAAGAAUGAUUUUAAAUUAGCUUUUCCAUUUUCAUCUGAGAGAAAUCACAGAGACAUAAAUAACAUUCACGAGAGUCUGUGCUGCACAAAUUAAGAUGCAUCAAAGCUUGGCGAAUUCAACAGUAUCCAAAAAUGAAAAUCGGCUGAAAAUGUAUUCUCAGACCAUCCAAGAUGUAGAUGAUUUUGUUUCUUCAUCGGAACAAAUUUGGAGAAAUUUAGCAUUAAAUCACUUGCUCACCAAUGGAUCCUCUGUAGUGAAUGGGUGCCAUCAGAAUUAGAGUCCAAACAGCUGAUAAAAACAUCACAAUAAUCCAUAAGUAAACCACAUGACUGCAGUCCAUCAAUUAACAUCUUACGAGGCAAAUGUCUGUAAUAAAUUCAUCAAGAAGUUUUAACUCCUAACCAUUGCUUUUGACUAAAAUAUGAGUCAUCUAUCCAUACUAUUGGUUGCUUGAAUGAAAAGAUCAUCUCGUUUGAAUCAGGAGAGAAAUAUGCACAAAUUAAGCACCAUUUACAGUCAAAAACAGUUCAAAACUAUUCUAAACAAAUAUGUUGGUGGACUUUGAUGUGAGGGGACAAUAGGAGAUGAACUGUUUCACUGUAUGAAGCGUUAUUAUGAAUUAUGGAAAGUUUAAAGUUGAUGGUAUUGUUUCUUACAAUUUUUUUUUUCACUUCAAAGAACAUUAAUUUAUUGAGUCAUCGUGUGGAUUAUUUAUGGAUUAUUGUGAUGUUUUUAGCAGCUGUUUGGACUUUGAUUCUGAUGGCACCCAUUGUUAAAUACUAAAUAAUUACUGAUUAUAAUGACUUAUACGGUCUUUUUACACGUUGUGUUGCGUAUCAUGCUGCGCAAACAUAAAACCAUGUCUGCAUUUGUGAUCUGAGAAACAACAAACAACAAGCCUACUCUACUGCUCAAAACUUGCGUUUGAAUCAUCAUUGGCAAAUUAUUUAAAUAUAAAAAAUGUACUUACAGGCUGUGAAUCAGAAGCGCCAGACUGUCCUUGCAAAGUUUGAAUUGCCCAACUUUAUAGAAACAGCCAUUGUGCCACAGACGCAUUGCACGCUACUGGUUCAGGAAACAGUCCUCAUCCUCCAUAAAAUGCGUAGCACACAUCUGAAUAUUUGCGUUGGACUGCUCUGGAACAAUGUUGAAAUACAAUUUAACCACUGAUUUCUAGUCGUGUCCUCUUUUGGAAGGCCACACAAAGUAGUUUAGCUUUCACAACUAAACACACAGAGACUCCACAACAUGGCAGCGGCGGCAACAGAGAGUAUAAAAGUUAUGCCUUCUUUCUUUGCGUGAACAUUUCGGGGGCGUUAUGCAAAUCUUCCCACAUAGUGACGUAGAGAUGUGGGGGCGUGUUAGAACAAGCCGUUUUAGGGGUGUGUGGUUGACUCUUAACUUUUAUAAAAAAUAUCUCUUUGGAUUUGAGACUUUAGUCUUUGCAACUUUACAGAUCUUUUUUAUGCACCAAGAGGCUGUAACACUCCAAAGAGAAAGGAAAAAUUGAAAUCGUAUCAUAUGACCCCUUUAACUAUUCCUUUAUGAACACAGAUUAUGGUGGAGGGAAUAGGAAAUAACAAGCUCAAACAUAAAAAGACCCUGGACCACAUACACUACAGAAAAGACAUUCACAUUUGAUUCAAAUUUAAUUUUGAUGCCAUUUACAAGAAGAUUCUGAAGGUCUGAAUAAGAAAUUCAAAUGAAGAGUUGCAUAAGAAACCUUCCCUUGAUGCUCAGUGAGGGAAUUAGGCAGUCUUUCAGACUCUUUUAAAAAUGCUAACUAACCAACUUGGAACUUUUCCAGGAAUUGUGUUCUUAUUGAUACCUGCAAUGCUAAUUAGCAACAACAAUGCACUUUAUGCUUUUUUUCCACAAAUCAAUGUGACAUAUGUCUGCCAAGUAAAUGUUAAUGUAAAUGCACACGGAUAAUGUGUGUUGUUAAUUCCCCCCGUCACUGCUUGUUCUCAUUGCAGAUGGACUCGAGGUCAUCAAUGGUGUUAAAAAAAAUAACACAGCUUGAUUGUUAUUCCAGAGAAACUGUCAUGUACGUGCUCUCUCUCUCCCUGUCUUUCUGCCACAAUAGACCGCAUUUCAUUAGAGGCAUCAGCGAGGUAAUUCAGGAUAAAAUAUGGAAGCCAAAUUGCUUGGCGUGAGAUGCCUUUCAAAGUAACGGCAUUGGAGGGAAAACCUAAAGAGCAGGAGGCCUUGUUAAUAAAAGAAUGGAAAACACUCGAGAUGAACACGUGCCUCUUCAUAUGGCACGUAUUGAUUUGAUUUCACUUCAUCAGCUGGAGGAUUUUUGCAUCCUUCACACACGGUUUAGAAUAGCGUGUGUUUGUAUGCCUGAUAUAGGCAGAGCUCUCGUGACCUUGUCGGCAGCAUUACAGUGUGUGUCGAGCAGAUAAGGGGUGUGAUUUUAAAGCCUCUGAGACAAUAAAGUGGAUAAAGUAAACCAACAAACACUGAAAAUUAAGCUUUCACAGAAUAAUAAAUAAAUAAAUACAUUGAAGAACGAAGCGAAUUUCCGAUUCGAGACACACUGUCUCUCCAUUUUAAAGGUCACGGUUCUAUUUGUGUUCUGUGGAGAAAUUAGUCUUCCAAAAUAACAAAUUUAAUCUACAAAAAUGUGGUUGAGACAUUUGUAACAGUGGAAUAAGGUAAAAUCACUGUGACAUCUUCAUGUAAUCAGGUCGGCGUGACUCAACCGCAAGAGGCGGCGUUUAACAUUCAGACUGGAGCUAAAGGACAAGAGCCUGAUAUUCAGAACAAAUGACAUCUUUUCCACAUAUACAGACAGUUCUGCAAGCCUACCAUCCUUUGUCCAUAACACUUUAGCAUUCUGUUUAUCUGUGUAUAAAGGCUUGAAAUGGAAAUGGUGCUGUGAUCCGUUCAAGUUAAUUUUUCCUUUUUGUGCUGCUGAAUGUCGUCUUGAGGAUUAGAGGGCACUCGUGCAUGAAGUACUUAUGACAGAUUCAUGCUGUUGCUAUGAUGCACAUGUAACCAACACAUACCAACGAUGAGCUGACUAAUAACUAACCUCGAUUUAGUAUUGCCUGUCUGGAUUUGGAUUAUUGUAUUUUUUGGAUUAAAAGCAAUGCACUUUGGAUUAAAAACAAUAGUUUUUUUUCUAUUCUCUGAUCAGUUAUGAAGUUUAGGGUUUUGUAACAUCGUUGCAUUGCAUUUGUGUGACACUGUGCACCUUAUACUGUAUGUGAAACAUUUAAUAUAUUUCUGUUAAAUUGAAAGAAAUCUGUGAAAUUUACAGUAAAAAAAAAGAAAAAAAGGCAAAUGUGAUUGCCAGAACAUUACUGUAAAAGUUUUACAGAUUGCACCUAAUUUUAUAACAAAAUAGAUUUUAUAUACUUUAUUAUAUCAAUAAAACUGCAAAAAGGUCAUGAUUUCAUAUAGCUACCCAACUCCAUCCAUUUAGCUAUGCAGACCUGCCAAACUUUGAUUUUACAUAAAAAAAAAUCUCUCCCCCUCUCAAAGGUAAUUUAUGCACAGCCGCUGUCAGCAGGAACAAGCUCUAACAUUGUAAAUGUCUUCUAGUUGUUUUAUCACUCUUCUUGUGUGUAGUUGGCAGUGAACGAGGCCCUGGUCAUCCUCUGCCCGCGGGACUCUGAACGCCCUUCCCAUCACCGGCCAGAAUGAUGUACAGUGUGAGGCCGUGGUUAGCGGCGUGAAGCAAAUUGAAUACA
ensembl:lncRNA